AACUAUUGUUAAGGAACUCGGCAAAAUGACCCCGUAACUUCGGGAGAAGGGGUGCCUGUAUAUCUACGGAUAUGCAGGCCGCAGUGAAUCGGCCCAAGCGACUGUUUAUCAAAAACACAGGUUUCUGCUAAAUCGCAAGAUGAAGUAUAGGAGCUGACGCCUGCCCGGUGCUGGAAGGUUAAGAGGACAUGUUAGCAUUAGCAAAGCAUAGAAUUUAAGCCCCAGUGAACGGCGGCCGUAACUAUAACGGUCCUAAGGUAGCGAAAUUCCUUGUCGGGUAAGUUCCGACCCGCAUGAAUGGCGUAACGACUUGGGCACUGUCUCAACAAUAGACCCGGUGAAAUUGAAGUAUACGUGAAGAUGCGUAUUACCCGCAACAGGACGGAAAGACCCCAUAGAGCUUUACUACAACUUGAUAUUGGAUUUCGGGCUUAAAUGUACAGGAUAGGUGGGAGACUUAGAAACUAGAGCGUCAGCUUUGGUGGAGUCAUCCUUGGGAUACCACCCUUUUAUGUCUGGAAUUCUAACGCUAUGCCAUUAUCUGGGUAGCGGACAGUGUCUGGUGGGUAGUUUGACUGGGGCGGUCGCCUCCGAAAGAGUAACGGAGGCGUCCAAAGGUUUCCUCAUAAUGGUUGGAAACCAUUAGAAGAGUAUAAAGGCAUAAGGAAGCUUGACUGCAACACCUACAAGUGGAGCAGGUACGAAAGUAGGGCUUAGUGAUCUGGCGGUAGAGCAUGGAAUUGCCGUCACUUAACGGAUAAAAGUUACCUUGGGGAUAACAGGCUGAUUCCUCCCAAGAGUCCAUAUCGACGGGGGAGUUUGGCACCUCGAUGUCGGCUCGUCAUAUCCUGGUGGAGUAGCAUCUACCAAGGGUUCGGCUGUUCGCCGAUUAAAAUGGCACGCGAGCUGGGUUCAGAACGUCGUGAGACAGUUCGGUCCCUAUCCAUUGCGGGCGUAGGAUAUUUGAGCAGAGCUUCCCCUAGUACGAGAGGACCGGGGUGGACGUACCAAUGGUGCACCAGUUGUCACGCCAGUGGCAUGGCUGGGUAGCGACGUACGGACAGGAUAAACGCUGAAAGCAUAUAAGCGUGAAGCCCCCUGCAAGAUUAGAUAUCCCAUAGCGUAAGCUAGUAAGAUCCCUUAUAGACGAUGAGGUUGAUAGGUCGGAGGUGUAAGUGCAGUAAUGUAUGUAGCUGACCGAUACUAAUAGAUCGAGGGCUUGAUCAC
rnacentral:rRNA from 1 species